UUGUCUUGCUCUCAACAGCUCAUCCUUUACUCUCUUUCUCUCAAUGCUUCCAUCCAUCAUUAAAGCCCUUCCAUCCAUCGCACCAUCCAUCACAACGCUUUCAUCCAUCGCACCACACCUCCAGAUUCAAGCGCCUGUGAAUGAAAGUCUCCAGGAAACUCCAUCACCGGCGCUCAAUCAAAAUCUAGGUUAACAAUGUAGCAGUUAGUAAAAUUUCUAUAGACCUUCAUUCUCUAGAUUCAUCAACAAAAGAAAGCAUUGUGGUAAGCAUCAAUUAUUUUUAUUUAAAUAUGUUGUUAUUAAAAACAUGUUCCAACUGCCAAUUGGUAUAAUUUGGUAUCCAAUUUCUUUAAUUGUUCCAACUGCCAAUGUGGUAAACAAGAACUUGUGUAGUAUUAUCAUUAUAUGUAUUACUAUAACCACAUCGCUAAAACUUUUUUCAA